AGAUAAUUACACAUUGAGAUCACUGCUAUGAAGGAGUUAAGCUGAGGAGAUAGAGCCUUCCCUGGGGGAGAUCACUCUUCACAGGAAGAUCAGGAACGUUCUCUGGAAGAUGACACUUGAGCUGAGAUCUGAAAGUCGAGCAAAGCAGAAGAGGUAGAGGUACUGGCUUGUUUAAGGAACUGAAAUAAGGCCAAUGUGGCUGGGGCAUAGUGAGCAGGGUUGAGUGGUAUGAAAUGAAGUUGGAAAAAGACCCCAGUAUGAAGGACCUCACCAGGGUGCAGUAAGGAGUUUAGAUUUUACUCUGAGCUAAAAGUCUUUGAAAUGUUUUAUGCAGGGGAGUUGGCUUGGUCAGAAUAAAAUUUUAAGGCAUUCGCUCUAGUCCCUGCUGAGAGUGGAUUAAAGAGCAGGAGAUCAGGAGACAGAUGAAGGAGUUAUUCCAGGAUUCUAGGCCAGAGGUGAUGAUUGCUCAGACUUAGGGUAGGAGAGCAAAGGCGGGGAUGGAGACAAGUAGGCAUGUCAGAGAUGUCGUUUGGAGGUCAAGUUAAAAGGCCUUGGUGAUAGACUGAAUGUAUGUGAAGUUAGGGGGAAGUAAUGGAAAUAGAGUAAUCAAGGAUGACCUUGAUGUCUUGGCUUGAGCCCCAAGGUAGAAAUUGGUGGUAUUGAUUGAAUUGUUGAAGGUUUGGUGAGGAAGCAUUUGGGGUUGGGUUCUGGGUGGUGGGGUGGGGAGAGACUAGGAAUCAAGAGUUCUAUUUUGGCUAGAAAUUUUUAUUAGACAUCUAAGAGAAGCUGUCAAGAUUCAGUAAAUAACGAAAUGACAGAAAAGGAAACUGAGGCGGAAAAAUAGGUAUACAGGUGCCAAGCGGUAGAACCGCUCCAGCCCGUCUGACUCAGGCACUAAGCUGAGCAGCCUCUUCUCCAGUAUGUGCGAACUAGCAAUUAUUUCUUUCAGGUAUAAUUGGAAAAUAAGUACAAAAGAUUUGGGAAGAGAAAAGUAAAGGAGACGGAAAAGAAGAACAGUUUUUGUUCUUUUAAGCCUCCCCCCCCCCCCCCCGCCCCCAACACCAUCUUAAGAGAAAGAAAGAAAAAAGAAGGAAAGAAUGAUUUGAUUGCCUAAAAAAGGAUAAAACAAGAUCUGCUAUGUGAAAAAGAUGUAUACAUUC
rnacentral:lncRNA from 1 species